GACUAUUCUCAGUGGUUAUAGCAUUCGCCUUGGAUGCGGGAGGUCAUGGGUUCGAUCCCUGGUCGAGUCA